rnacentral:rRNA from 1 species
ACGAACGCUGGCGGCAUGCCUAAUACAUGCAAGUCGAGCGGUGCAGCAAUGCAUAGCGGCGGACGGGUGAGUAACGCGUGGGCAACCUGCCUCAAAGGUUGGGAUAACACCCCGAAAGGGGUGCUAAUACCGAGUGUGCUCUAGGUGCCGCAUGGCAUAUAGAGGAUAGGAGAAAUCCGUUUCGAGAUGGGCCCGCGUCUGAUUAGCUAGUUGGUAGGUAACGGCCUACCAAGGCGACGAUCAGUAGCCG